AUUGAACGCUGGCGGCAUGCCUUACACAUGCAAGUCGAACGGUAACGCGGGGCAACCUGGCGACGAGUGGCGAACGGGUGAGUAAAGCAUCGGAACGUGCCCAGUGGUGGGGGAUAGCCCGGCGAAAGCCGGAUUAAUACCGCAUACGACCUAUGGGGGAAAGGGGGGGAUCGCAAGACCUCUCGCUAUUGGAGCGGCGGAUGUCAGAUUAGGUAGUUGGUGGGGUAAAGGCCUACCAAGCCGACGAUCUGUAGCUGGUCUGAGAGGCCGACCAGCCAAACAGGGACAGAGACACGGACCAGCCUCCUACGGGAGGACGAAGGGGGGAAUUUUGGACAAUGGGCGCAAGCCUGAUCCAGCCAUGCCGCGUGCGGGAAGAAGUCAUUCGGGUUGUAAACCGCUUUUGUCAGGGAAGAAAUCCUUUGGGUUAAUACCUCGGGGGGAUGACGGUACCUGAAGAAUAAGCACCGGCUAACUACGUGCCAGCAGCCGCAGUAA
rnacentral:rRNA from 1 species